CUUCAAACCACUGAACCAGUUUUUGCAUAGCUGAGAUGCAGGCAACAGCCCCAUUCAAUCACUAACCUACCUUGUCCUAACAAAGAGCGGGCACUGUCUUUGCAUGUUCCUUCUUCCACCAUCAAAUGCAGUUGAAUGAAAGUCUUUGAGGUUCAAAGGAAAAAUCUGGAUUGACUAACACGGGAAAUAAAGCAAGUUCAUUUAAAAUGUAGAAAGAAGCUGCAAAACAACUGCGUAUCUCUCUGGUAAGUGGCUGGUCAUACCCAGCACCCUUCAUCCAACGCAAUCAAAAAAUCUGAAGAUUUUCCAGAGUGGUCUAAGGACUUUUGUAAACAGGAUUCAAAAACUCUUACAUGAUCAAGGAUUGUGCUCUGGGGAAC